rnacentral:lncRNA from 1 species
AGGAGGAUCACGUGCGGCAAGCUGUGGACGUUUAUUUAUGCUUGCAUUUCAAGGAGUAUCAUCACCGCAUUCAUCAGCACUGGUACCAUGUGAUGCAGGACCAUGGGGUGGAGGCAGCGCGGCAGCGGCCGUAUGACAGCACACUAUGGAUGAUUAGACUCUCGUAUGCCGGCAUUACAAGAAUCCUGUAUAUCAGGUUACACAUCCGAACUUCUUUUUUUUGAGAGUUUAAUAAUUGAAUUAUUUAUUCUUAAAUUCAGUUUAUUACCUACUAAUUUGACUGCUAACUGUACAGAGACGAUAUGUCCAGAGCACCGCAAAUCGGACGAGACAGAUUGUGUCACAUUGUGGGGGUUUAAGGUCGUUCACUCGUCAUAUGAAGCAGAUGGUAAGUAAUUUCUAAUUAGCAUAUUUUAACUCUCUAACUAUUUAAUUUUUUUUUAAUUAAUUAUUCUCAAAUUGUAGAGAGAUGCAGAGAGUGGCGAGCUUUCUGGGAGGACCGAUAUCUACCAGCAGACCCACCAGC